rnacentral:rRNA from 1 species
AACGUAGGACACAAGCGUUAUCCGGAGUUACUGGGCGUAAAGGGCGUGUAGGCGGACCUAUAAGUCUAUUCUGAAAGCUCCUGGCUAAACUGGGAGAGGCGAAUGGAGACUGUAGAUCUAGAGUGAGGAAGAGGAAAGUGGAAUUCCGCGUGUAGUGGUGAAAUGCGUAGAGAUGCGGAGGAACACCAGUGGCGGAAGGCGGUUCUCUGGGCCUGUUCUGAC